CUGCCGCCGCCACCCUGGGGCGGGGCGGGGCGGGGGGCAACUGUGCCCCGCGCCGACGACGGAGAGGCCGCGCGCCGGACGCCACGGCCCGAGGCUGGGGACAGGUUGCGCCGCUCCGGGGACUAAGAGGCUGCUCGUCCCGACGCCGCUCCGGGGCUGGCAGGGCUGCUGGGCUCCCUCCCCGGUCUGGGCUCCGUCUGGAGGGCGGGCCCGGUGAUUACUCACAAUGUUUUUAGGGGAUUUCGGGGGCCCCCUCCCGCUGAUCGGAGGAGUUUGGUGAUGUCACCGGGCCCGGUCUGGAGCCCAGCCAGGACUGCUGGCUGCGGCCGCCUGCCCUGCGCAGGGAAAGGCCCGGGCCUAAUUCGCCCGCAAAGGCCAGGUGACCGAACUCCACGGGGCUUCUGACCGCUAAAGGUGCCUCUUGGUGGUGGUCGCGGCAUAAGCAUUUUUUAAUUAGCCACCCACCGCCGUGGGGGCGAAGGGGGACGACCUGAUCUCUCCACCUGGCAGCGCCUGCACCGUGGGCUUUGUGGAGCCUGCUGCUCGAGGGCGACCCAGGUGGCGCCGCGUCUGCUCCCGCUGGCGAGGGGGCACCUGAGGGCUUUUAGGGUUAAGAAGCCUGUGCGUUUACGGUUCCUCCAUACUGUCGGCCCUCGGGGGCGAUGGAUGGACAAGAGGCGCCCAGGGGUAAAUCUUCGGAGCCUCGUCUCUGCAGCCAGAUAUCCUUCUUAGAAAGUCCGGUACUUCUGGGGCCGCCUAAACCGACAGGGUCAUUCCCGCCUCCGCUCGUCUCUCCAGGGCCUACUGCUAGGGUCCAAAGCAUUUCCACUAAUUACCCACCAAAUGACCUCUCAGCGGGUAUCUUCCCCAAGGCCGAGCUCAAGGCCAGUAUGCGGUGUGAGGGAGGAGGCUGGAAUACCCCCCACUCCAGGCUUUUUCCUCAUCCCCAAAGGAAGAAGAUGCUCGGUGGCAGGCCGUAUGUUCUUCCCCAGAUGGAGAAAGACCGUUCUAAAUUAGGGAAUCAUGUGGGAAUUGGAAAAGACUGGAAAUUCUGACUUGCUUUCCCAGGCUCUGAAAAAACAGGAAGAGAAAAGUGAAAACAGUUAACCACUCCUCCCACUCAUUUCAGUUUCAACUGUGGCUGGCCCGGAUUUGAAGAGUCAGCUCACUUUUUUUGAGGAGGCCGACUUCAGAAAUAGAACAAUCCAUCUUUAAGUUCAUAUGCAGUCUCAAGGGACCCCGAAUAGCCAAAACAAUCUGGAAAAAGAAGAACAAAGUUCUAUCCAAUUGUUUCAGAGCUAUCUGUUGGAAAAAAUUACCCUUUCUUCAUCGAGUCCCUUUAGCACCAUGUUGAAAACCAAUUGGCCAAUACAUAUCUCAGAUAUUAUUUAUUUAUUGAGACACAGAGAGAGAGAGGCAGAGACACAGGCAGAG